GAUGAACGCUGGCGGCGUGCCUAAUACAUGCAAGUCGAGCGAACAGAUGAGGAGCUUGCUCCUCUGACGUUAGCGGCGGACGGGUGAGUAACACGUGGAUAACCUACCUAUAAGACUGGGAUAACUUCGGGAAACCGGAGCUAAUACCGGAUAAUAUAUUGAACCGCAUGGUUCAAUAGUGAAAGACGGUUUUGCUGUCACUUAUAGAUGGAUCCGCGCCGCAUUAGCUAGUUGGUAAGGUAACGGCUUACCAAGGCUACGAUGCGUAGCCGACCUGAGAGGGUGAUCGGCCAAACUGGAACUGAGACACGGUCCAGACUCCUACGGGAGGCAGCAGUAGGGAAUCUUCCGCAAUGGGCGAAAGCCUGACGGAGCAACGCCGCGUGAGUGAUGAAGGUCUUCGGAUCGUAAAACUCUGUUAUUAGGGAAGAACAAAUGUGUAAGUAACUAUGCACGUCUUGACGGUACCUAAUCAGAAAGCCACGGCUAACUACGUG
rnacentral:rRNA from 1 species